GACGAACGCUGGCGGCGUGCUUAACACAUGCAAGUCGAACGGUGAAGCCCUUCGGGGUGGAUCAGUGGCGAACGGGUGCGUAACACGUGAGCAACCUGCCCCUGGCUCUGGGACAACCACUGGAAACGGUGGCUAAUACCGGAUACGACCCGCCUCGGCAUCGAGUGUGGGUGGAAAGUUUUUCGGCUGGGGAUGGGCUCGCGGCCUAUCAGCUUGUUGGUGAGGUGAAGGCUCACCAAGGCGACGACGGGUAGCCGGCCUGAGAGGGCGACCGGCCACACUGGGACUGAGACACGGCCCAGACUCCUACGGGAGGCAGCAGUGGGGAAUAUUGCACAAUGGGCGAAAGCCUGAUGCAGCGACGCCGCGUGAGGGAUGACGGCCUUCGGGUUGUAAACCUCUUUCAGCUCCGAAGAAGCGAAAGUGACGGUAGGAGCAGAAGAAGCACCGGCUAACUACGUG
rnacentral:rRNA from 1 species